ACAGAGGAAAAGGUUGGGUGCUUGGUUGCUGCUCAGUUGCUGCAAUAAGGACAUGACAAGCACUCAUGAAGGAGUAGCUGCAAGUUGCCUUCUAAGGGUCCACAGGACCAUAUUGUCUUUAGCAGUUCCCUGUCAUCUGAAGGAAAAUCAGCUUCUUGGAACAGUAUUCCAAAAGUUCAUGUGUUUUGAAACUGUCUGGUAUUUUUCAGAGGUCUUCUGUGAAGUAAUAAAGCCAUGGAAGUCCAUUGAGAGAGCCCUUUUCAAUCCAGUGGCACAAAAUGUGUUCCAUGCCUUCAAAGACAAAAGUUCAGAUCUUCAUGUUGAGUGGAAAUAAAACAUCUGCAAAUUCAAGAAAAAAGGUUUGAUAUCUGCUCAAGUUUACAUCACAUAAAAACAUUAAUAUGAGGAAUCAAGCUGAUGGAAUGACAAGUUUGAAUUCGCAAGCAGGAACAAGUAACUACAAACCUACUGGGGAAGGACAGGGUGGGAAAUAUUUUAGGAAUGCCUUAAGAAUAUACUGUUGCCCAAUAAUUAAUGUCAUCAAAAUUAUCAGCUUGAGGUCAGCCAGUGUUAUUUAAGCAUGUGAAUAAAGCUUGUACCCCAAUUUUAAAAAUAUCUGCCUUUGUGACAGAGGAAAUAGCGUGGAAUGCAAAAGGAAUUGAGUUGGUAGUAAUUCAUGUUUGAAAGUUAGUUUUAAUGUAACUUUUCAAAAAAUUUAGCCCAAGUCCAGGACUGACUCAUGGAGACAGAACAUCAGCAUUUACCUUCUGAUGCUCAAGUGUUCAUGACAGCAAAUUAUGUACCCUAUACUUUCUGUAAACAAUUAAAGUUGCUUAACUAAUU